ACUACUCGACCUUAAUGGCGGUUAAUGAGAUAACCGUCCAGUAAAUACCAUAACUCCCGCAUCCCAAAUAUUUAGAAAUGAGAAUUACAUAGCAAUGACAGUCUUUACCCUAUAAAUAGUGGUAGGCAAUGGGGGACCGGAUAAGUGGGACUAGAUAUAAAUUUUUGGGCUCUCACUUUGGGCUCUUGACUGUUCUCUUUCUCCGACUGACUUAGGCAUCGAAGGGUCUCCUGUCAGACAACCUCUGAAAAGAGAACUUGAUUUUGCAGAUUUUCUACUAUCCAACAUUCAGACGCAACAAUUCAGCUCACUGCCGACCAUCUCACCA
rnacentral:lncRNA from 1 species